UGUGGACGCUGUUGUAGCGCUGCAAGCUUGGUCUAGGUGUGCUACUGUUGGCCCGCCUGUUCCAAGUUGAGUAGUGGACCGCUUGGGGCCUAUGCGAAAGUUGGGCCUCACGGUCCAUAAUGUGGCAGGCACCGCGUGAGGCUGGCUUCACAGAGCAGCGACAACUGCCCGCUUCCAACGGUGGAAGGAUAACGGGCCGCUGCACUCCUAGGCCGCUUGGGCCUCCGUAGCCUACUCCAG
rnacentral:SRP_RNA from 1 species